GACGAGCGCUGGCGGCGUGCUUAACACAUGCAAGUCGAGCGGUAAGGCCCUUUCGGGGGUACACGAGCGGCGAACGGGUGAGUAACACGUGGGUGACCUGCCCUCAGCUCUGGGAUAAGCCUGGGAAACCGGGUCUAAUACUGGAUAUGACUCCAUGACGCAUGUUGUGGGGUGGAAAGCCUUGUGCGGCUGAGGAUGGGCCCGCGGCCUAUCAGCUUGUUGGGGGGUGAUGGCCUACCAAGGCGACGACGGGUAGCCGGCCUGAGAGGGCGACCGGCCACACUGGGACUGAGACACGGCCCAGACUCCUACGGGAGGCAGCAGUGGGGAAUCUUGCGCAAUGGGCGAAAGCCUGACGCAGCGACGCCGCGUGAGGGAUGACGG
rnacentral:rRNA from 1 species